rnacentral:rRNA from 1 species
AGAACGAACGCUGGCGGCAUGCCUAAUACAUGCAAGUCGAACGAGACCUUCGGGUCUAGUGGCGCACGGGUGCGUAACGCGUGGGAAUCUACCCUUGGGUUCGGAAUAACAGUUGGAAACGACUGCUAAUACCGGAUGAUGACGAAAGUCCAAAGAUUUAUCGCCCAGGGAUGAGCCCGCGUAGGAUUAGCUAGUUGGUGAGGUAAAGGCUCACCAAGGCUACGAUCCUUAGCUGGUCUGAGAGGAUGAUCAGCCACACUGGGACUGAGACACGGCCCAGACUCCUACGGGAGCAGCAGUAGGGAAUA